AUGCACGCUAGCGGGAGGCCUAACCCAUGCAAGCCGAGCGGUAGAGUUCCUUCGGGAACUUGAGAGCGGCGUACGGGUGCGUAACACGUGUGCAACCUACCUUUAUCUGGGGGAUAGCCUUUCGAAAGGAAGAUUAAUACCCCAUAAUAUAAUGAUUGGCAUCAAUUAUUAUUGAAAACUCCGGUGGAUAGAGAUGGGCACGCGCAAGAUUAGAUAGUUGGUGAGGUAACGGCUCACCAAGUCAAUGAUCUUUAGGGGUCCUGAGAGGGAGAUCCCCCACACUGGUACUGAGACACGGACCAGACUCCUACGGGAGGCAGCAGUGAGGAAUAUUGGACAAUGGGUGAAAGCCUGAUCCAGCCAUCCCGCGUGAAGGAUGACGGUCCUAUGGAUUGUAAACUUCUUUUGUACAGGGAUAAACCUACUCUCGUGAGGGUAGCUGAAGGUACUGUACGAAUAAGCACCGGCUAACUCCGUG
rnacentral:rRNA from 1 species